UACGAAGGGGGCUAGCGUUGUUCGGAAUUACUGGGCGUAAAGGGCGCGUAGGCGGUGCUUCAAGUCAGGCGUGAAAGCCCCGGGCUCAACCUGGGAACCGCGCUUGAGACUGGAGAACUAGAGUUCGGGAGAGGAUGGUGGAAUUCCCAGUGUAGAGGUGAAAUUCGUAGAUAUUGGGAAGAACACCGAUGGCGAAGGCAGCCAGCUGGACCGACACUGACGCUGAGGCGCGAAAGCGUGGGGAGCAAACAGG
rnacentral:rRNA from 1 species